GGUUACGAUCAUACCAGCACUAAUGCACCGGAUCCCAUCAGAACUCCGCAGUUAAGCGUGCUUGGGCGAGAGUAGUACUAGGGUGGGUGACCCCCUGGGAAGUCCUCGUGUUGCAACUUCCUUUUUUUCGUUUUUUUGUUUAUUUUAUUUACCGGUCGAUGUGUCUUUUGCGUAGCAUGCGAGUUGCCGUUGAUGUGGGGAACGAGGCUACGGGGUUGCAACACGAUCCCAUCAGAACUCCGCAGUUAAGCGUGAAUUCCUCGGUUGCGAUCAUACCAGCACUAAUGCACCGGAUCCCAUCAGAACUCCGCAGUUAAGCGUUCAAUGAAAUAUCCAUUCUGUGACGGUUC
rnacentral:lncRNA from 1 species